ACCCAAAAAAAAUACUUAAACGCAAAAUCAAAGCCCUAAGCCCUAACACGUUCUACCUUCUCCUUCCUCCAAAACACAGACAACGCUCUGCCAUUCCCCCAAACGCAAAUCGUAGCUCAACGGCUCAAUGCCUCCACCUUCUCCGGCACCACCCUUCUCCAGUUCUAUAUUUGUCGGCUCCACCGUUUUAUUAUCUCUUCAGCCCUCAAGUAUACUCACCCAAACCUUCUUCUCUCUAACCACUUCACCCCUUCCUAACGCAGACCUCUAGGUUUCAAAAUCUGGGUUUAAUCCUCUCAAUCAUUCUCUCUAAGGUAUUAGCCCAAACUGCCGACUCUUCCAAAGAAGCUGAUAAAUCAUGUUCUUCUUCUUCAUCUUUCUCCUCCAACCCAGGUGCUUGCAUUUUUCUUUUUUCUUUUUUUCAUGUUUGUAGCUAAACAUGAUUAAGGAGGGGUUACAUAUGAUUCUUUGUACUACAAGACAAGGACAGUCAGGUAUUUACCUUUCCUUUAUUAUGUACUGUUUCUUGCAUAUUUAUUAAUAAUAUGUUUCGAGAAAGAAUUUGAAAUUGGAAUGUGAUUGCAUAUUUAAGUUUCUUGGUUAUCUCAAACUUGGGGGUAUUCUUGAGUCUGUUGACUUUGUUUUGUAUUGGUAUCGGGUUUGAUUCUCUUAUGAUGAUACUAUGAUAGUAACGUGGGAAUUUAAUAGUAAAUUUUUUUGUCUUGAUUCUAAGCAAAAAAAUAAAGUUAUGUCUGAUUUUUAUUUUAUAUAAAUUGACAGAGUUUAUGUUUGAUUGAACUUGGAUCAAUUAAAGGUUUUUUCACUAAUUCAGUUUGCUGUGUAUGUGCUAUACUCAAUUUUCUUUACUGAAUUUAAUGUGAAAAAAAAUGUUUUCUUGCAUGGUCUUGACAUUGAUUUGACUUAAUUUAUAUUCAAUUUAUUUUCCAUUUUUAAAUUAUUUAAUCAAGCUCACAAAUUACAAUUCAGACCCUGAUAUUAAAUUCACUUACAAAUGGUUUUUUUGUCAAGAAAUGUUUUUUUGCUUGAUGAUUUUUGCUUCCCUUAUUACAUUUUGUUAUAUGGAUUGGUAGUAAUGGUUUGCUGCGCAGUUUUGAACACACAACUCAGUUUCUGAGAUUAUAAGGAAGACAAACACACAUUCAAAAUUGAAUCUAUAUUAUUGGGUUGAGAGUUUGGGUCUUUGACAGAGAUAUAAUGAUUAAUUGGGAAACAGAGAGAGAGAGAGAGAGAAAAGCUAUUUAUAAAUAAAUUACCACUUAUCUAAAAAUUGUAAAUUGUUAGAAACUAAUAAAUUUAAUCAUUCAAUCAAAAUUCUUAAUUGCUCCUAUGCCUUGCUGCUUGCUUUGUUGUAUAUAUUC